rnacentral:rRNA from 1 species
GACGUAGGAUGCAAGCGUUGUCCGGAUUUAUUGGGCGUAAAGCGUACGUAGGCGGCUUUCUAAGUCUGAGGUUAAAGACUGCGGCUCAACCGCAGGAGUGCCUCGGAUACUGGGAAGCUGGAGGGUGGCAGAGGAAGUCGGAAUUCCCAGUGUAGCGGUGAAAUGCGUAGAUAUUGGGAGGAACACCAGUGGCGAAAGCGGACUUCUGGGCCAUUCCUGACGCUGAGGUACGAAAGCCAGGGGAGCAAACGGG